UGGGCUGUCGUUAAAUCUAUGAUAUCUCAGU
rnacentral:piRNA from 1 species